rnacentral:lncRNA from 1 species
CGGGUUUGAUUAGUUUUUUUUUUCUUUUAUAAGAUCAUGUUUUUUUUUUAGUUUCACCCUUCAAAUUUUAUAUUAUUAGUGAUUAGGCUCUAUUCUUUUUUUAUUUACUUUCUAUAGGAUUUCUUGUGAAUUUUUAAAAUGACCCAGGUUAUCUCAAGUCUUUUUAUUUGUUUUUUUAAAUUACUUUGAAUUUUUUUAAAAAAUUAAUAUAUUUUUUUCAAUUUCAUCCUUUAAAAUUAUAAAUAUUGGAAAUUUAUUAUCCUUUUAGUUUCAUCCUUCAAGUUUGAUAUUUUUUUGUUAUUAGGCUUCGUGAUUUUCUUCGGUUUUCUUUCUAUUUGUUUAUCUUGGUCCCAUCACG